rnacentral:rRNA from 1 species
GAUGAACGCUGGCGGCGUGCCUAACACAUGCAAGUCGAGCGAAGCACUCUACCUGAUUUCUUCGGGAUGAAGGUUUAGUGACUGAGCGGCGGACGGGUGAGUAACGCGUGGGUAACCUGCCUCAUACAGGGGGAUAACAGUUAGAAAUGACUGCUAAUACCGCAUAAGACCACAGCACCGCAUGGUGCAGGGGUAAAAGGAGAAAUCCGGUGAAGGGUGGGCUCGCGUCCGAUUAGCUAGUUGGCAGGGUGAUAGCCUACCAAGGCGACGAUCGGUAGCCGACCUGAGAGGGUGAUCGGCCACAUUGGAACUGAGAUACGGUCCAA